rnacentral:rRNA from 1 species
GAUGAACGCUGGCGGCGUGCCUAAUACAUGCAAGUCGAGCGAACGGACGAGAAGCUUGCUUCUCUGCUGUUAGCGGCGGACGGGUGAGUAACACGUGGAUAACCUACCUAUAAUACUGGGAUAACUUCGGGAAACCGGAGCUAAUACCGGAUCAUAUUUUGAACCGCAUGGUUCAAAAGUGAAAGACGGUCUUGCUGUCACUUAUAGAUGGAUCCGCGCUGCAUUAGCUAGUUGGUAAGGUAACGGCUUACCAAGGCAACGAUGCAUAGCCGACCUGAGAGGGUGAUCGGCCACACUGGAACUGAGACACGGUCCAGACUCCUACGGGAGGCAGCAGUAGGGAAUCUUCCGCAAUGGGCGAAAGCCUGACGGAGCAACGCCGCGUGAGUGAUGAAGGUCUUCGGAUCGUAAAACUCUGUUAUUAGGGAAGAACAUAUGUGUAAGUAACUGUGCACAUCUUGACGGUACCUAAUCAGAAAGCCACGGCUAACUACGUG